ensembl:lncRNA
GUAACAUGUGCCAGAAAGGAUUCUGAAUAUAAUUUAACUUGAAACCAUUUCAACAGGGAUUGUCUCAGCUAAGAAAGAAAAAAUGAGGUGGGGUGCUCUCAGUAAGAAAUACAAUUAAAUGAAUAAACAAAACUGCAUAAGCACUUGGAAUGAUUUCAACAUUAAUUUAAUUACAAUAGUCACCCAGUAUAUUGAAUCUAUCACCAUGACACAUCACCAUCAUCUCAUGCUUUACAAAUUCAGAAUGAUUUGCAAGACUUAAUACGUGUGAAAGUUUAUGAAGGUUAAGACUGUGGAGGGUGUGUUAGUAUUUGUAUAUUUCAUUGAAUUCUUUACCAUAGAAUAGAACAGAAAAAAUUUUGUUCCACCUGUGUUUGAACAGUUGUGGUUGUUUUUUUCCCAUUAGAUCAGGUUCAGCAGAUGGUACUUAAUUUUAUAACCCCCACCCCAGUUUCCAAUAACAUUGAAAACAUUAAUCAGGGGUCAAUAUCAGAAACUCAUAUUGACAUUCACACUCCGUGUCACGAUUCCCCCUUGAAGCAGCGUGCUCUAAGCGCGAAUGCGCGAGCACCUGCUUUUCCGUUGUUGACUGUAAUGACAUCUGGACACUUGUGUUUUGUUUAUGUUUCUGUCAUGUCUCCUCCCUGUUCUGUCAUUGCCUGGGAUUUCACGUGGGUCUGAAUUGCUCUCAGCUGCUAGCGGUUUAGACGCUGAUCAUGUCCGCAUAUAUACCGUGCGCCUCCCAGCACACAACGCGGAAGAUUAAUACUUUAGAGUUAGUUUAGUUCGUAUCGUAGUCAUAGUCACGGUCCAUGUUUAGAGUUAGUUCGCGCUGGAUUAUCCGCUUCCAGUCCCUCGUCGUAGUUCGUUUCUUGUUUUGUUUAUCGACCCUGUUUUCCGUGACCACGACCUAGAUUCCUGCCUUGCCCUGUGUAUGCCUGUUUGCCAAUCGCCUGACCUCUUGCAUGUUUAUGGAUUACGUUUUGGAUCACGUUUUGGAUUUGUCUGCCUGUCUCUCUUUUAAAUAAACAACUGUUCAUCCUGCACUUGCAUCCGUCCUAUCUCUGCUCCGUCACGAUUCGUGACAGAAUCUUCCGCCCAACAUGGAUGCAGCACGAGGACGAGAGAGAAGUCACGCCAGAGAAACCAGGGAAGUAGUAGGACAAUACCUCAUCGGGGAACGCUCGGAUUACUAGCAUUUUUCGUCUGUGCAAUUUACCCAAAGGUACGCCGUUGAAUUGCCACCAGAGACAGCGGGAUUGGGGAGCUACCCGCUGGAGUUCCUCUUCAGCUGCCAGGUGUAUUUCUGCAGCUUGGCGUUUCCCAAGCCUACUAAGAGAGAGUGGAUCAGGUUCCUGGUGUCCAGGUUUUGCGGUCCGGCCUGUGACUGGGCGGAGCAGCUGGUGAAUGCUGGGUCGCCAGCCCUCCAUGAUGUCACUCAGUUUGCAGAGCUGUUUAUGGAGGCAUUUUCACAGCCUGGACAACUUCGUGGUCUUGAUUUACUGGGGUGGAGAGUCAGUGGACAGCCCCAGGUGGACCCACCAUUCAACCUCUAUUAUGAGGAGAUGGACAGGGCAGUAACCAGCGAUCCACUUCAGUUUCCGGCCAACGCGGGGGUGUAAUCUCCGAGAUGUAUGACCGAGGGCUGCGGGAGAGAGAUUCGGCUUCAAUGUCCCACCUGCAAGAAGCUGGGCCUCCAGGAAGCUUUCUUCUGCUCUCAGGAAUGCUUCAAGAGCAAUUGGCGGGAGCAUAAGAAACUCCACCGGAGAGCCCAUGCAGAGACCCAGCCCGGGAUCAACAGGGUGACCUCGGAGCACCCGUCGGAGGUCAUAGCACCAGAGCUCAACCCUGAGGUCCAAGUCCAGUCUCAAGUCCCUGAGGUCCAAGUCCAGUCUCAAGUCCCUCAGGUCCAAGUCCAGUCUCAAGUCCCUCAGGUCCAAGUCCAGUCUCAAGUCACUAGGCUCUGAGAUCCAAGUCCAGUCUCAAGUCACUAGGCUCUGAGAUCCAAGUCCAGUCUCAAGCCUCCAGGCUCUGAGAUCCAAGUCCAGUCUCAAGCCUCCAGGCUCUGAGAUCCAAGUCCAGUCUCAAGCCUCCAGGCUCUGACGUCCAAGCCAAGCCUCCAGGUCCUGAGGUCCAAGCCAAGCCUCCAGGCUCUGAGGUCCAAGCCAAGCCUCCAGGCUCUGAGGUCCAAGCCAAGCCUCCAGGCUCUGACGUCCAAGCCAGGCCUCCUGGCUCUGACGUCCAAGCCAAGUCUCACGUCCCUGAGCUCACGUUCAAGCCUGCUGAUCCAGUUGACCAAGCUCUGCUAAUAUCUAAGCCUAACGACCAAGUUCUGCUCACGCCCCAGUCUGCUGACACGCCCAGCCAAGCUCUGCUCACGCCCCAGUCUGCUGACACGCACCGCCAAGUUCUACUCACGCCACAGUCUGCUGACAUGGCCACCCAAGCUCUGCUCAUGCCCAAGGUUUACCUGGUGACCUCAGAGCCUCAGCCUCCCUGUUCAGCUGAGGUCGUCGCUCAGCCUCCCUGUUCAGCUGAGGUCGUCGCUCAGCCUCCCUGCUCCAUGGCAAACAUCGUUCCCCCCUUCUGCUUUGAGGAGGCCCACGCUCCUCUCCCUGGCCGCACGGAGGCCCACGCUCCUCUCCCUGGCCGCACGGAGGCCCACGCUCCUCUCCCUGGCCUUACAGGGGAUGUCGCUCUGCUUUCAUGCUCCGCCGAGGACGUCGCUGAGCCUGCCUGCCCGGCUGCGGACGUCGCUCCACUUUCAUGCUACGACGAGGACGUCACCCUGCUUCCCUGCUCUGCUGAGUACAGUGCUCUGUUUCCCUGCUCUGAUGAGGACGUCGCCCUGCUUCCCUGCUCUGCCGAGUACAGUGCUCUGUUUCCCUGCUCUGCCGAGUACAGUGCUCUGUUUCCCUGCUCCGCCGAGGACGUUGCUCUGCCUUUAUGCUCCGACGAGGACGUCGCCCUGCUUCCCUGAGUACAGUGCUCUGUUUCCCUGCUCCGCCGAGGACGUCGCUCUGCCCUCAUGCUCCGCCGAGGUCGUCGCUCUGCCCUCAUGCUCCACCGAGGUCGUCGCUCAGCCUGUCUGCCCAGCCGACGUCGUCGCUCAGCCUGUCUGCCCAGCCGAGGUCGUCGCUCCGCUUCCUUACGCCGCCAAGAACACUGUGCAGUUUCCUAGCUCUGCUUGGGACGUUCAGCGCCAAUGAAGUGGGAUGACUCAUGGCACUCCGGGAGGAGGAGUAACCCCCACCCCAGUUUCCAAUAACAUUGAAAACAUUAAUCAGGGGUCAAUAUCAGAAACUCAUAUUGACAUUCA